rnacentral:rRNA from 1 species
AGUGAACGCUGGCGGUAGGCCUAACACAUGCAAGUCGAACGGCAGCACCGUAAGAGCUUGCUCUUACGGGUGGCGGGUGGCGGACGGGUGAGGAAUAUAUCGGAAUCUACUUUUUGGUGGGGGAUCACGUAGGGAAAGUUACGCUAAUAUCGCAUCUGACCCAGGGUGGUAGGUAGGGGAUCUUCGGACCUUGCGGGAAUGGAUGAGCCGAUGACGGAUUAGAUAGUUGGCGGGUUAAUGGCCCACCAAGGCGACGAUAGGUAGCUGGUCUGAGAGGAUGGUCGCCCACACGGGAACUGAGACACGGUCCAGACUCCUACGGGAGGCAGCAGUGGGGAAUAUUGGACAAUGGGCGCAAUCCUGAUCCAGCCAUACCGCGUGGGUGAAGAAGGCCUUCGGGUUGUAAAGCCCGUUUGUUGGGAAAGAAAAGCAGCAGGUUAAUACCCAGCUGUUCUGACGGUACCCAAAGAAUAAGCACCGGCUAACUUCGUG